CAGUCGCCACGGGAAUACGAAGGGGGCUAGCGUUGCUCGGAAUGACUGGGCGUAAAGGGCGCGUAGGCGGUUCGGAUAGUCAGAUGUGAAAUUCCUGGGCUUAACCUGGGGACUGCGCUUAAUACAGGCAGUCUAGAGUGAGGAAGAGGGUUGUGGAAUUCCCAGUGUAGAGGUGAAAUUCGUAGAUAUUGGGAAGAACACCGGUGGCGAAGGCGGCAACCUGGUCCUUGACUGACGCUGAGGUGCGAAAGCGUGGGGAGCAAACAGGAUUAGAUACCCCAGUAGUCCCUGUCUCUUAUAC
rnacentral:rRNA from 1 species